rnacentral:rRNA from 1 species
UCUUAGUGGCGGACGGGUGAGUAACGCGUGGGUAACCUGCCUUAUACAGGGGGAUAACACUUAGAAAUAGGUGCUAAUACCGCAUAAGCGCACGGGGCUGCAUGGCCCAGUGUGAAAAACUCCGGUGGUAUAAGAUGGACCCGCGUCUGAUUAGCUAGUUGGCGGGGUAACGGCCCACCAAGGCAGCGAUCAGUAGCCGGCCUGAGAGGGUGGACGGCCACAUUGGGACUGAGACACGGCCCAAACUCCUACGGAAGGCAGCAG